AACGCGAAGAACCUUACCAAGUCUUGACAUCCCAUUGACCGACUCGUAAUGGAGUCUUCCCUACGGGGCAAUGGAGACAGGUGGUGCAUGGUUGUCGUCAGCUCGUGUCGUGAGAUGUUGGGUUAAGUCCCGCAACGAGCGCAACCCCUAUUUUUAGUAGCCAGCAUUUUAGAUGGGCACUCUAGAGAGACUGCCAGGGAUAACCUGGAGGAAGGUGGGGACGACGUCAAAUCAUCAUGCCCCUUAUGAUUUGGGCUACACACGUGCUACAAUGGUGACUACAAAGAGAAGCGAAAGCGUGAGCUGAAGCAAAUCUCAAAAAGGUCAUCUCAGUUCGGAUUGUAGUCUGCAACUCGACUACAUGAAGCUGGAAUCGCUAGUAAUCGCGAAUCAGCAUGCCGCGGUGAAUACGUUCCCGGGUCUUGUACACACCG
rnacentral:rRNA from 1 species